AUUGAGGUUGGUCCUGAUUCGUCUUCUUGGUAGACUGCAUCAUGGGAAAUGCCUCAUAGAGAAACUCUGUAGCCUCGCUUUACUCAUGUGAUCACUAAUCAUUGAACAUGUGGGAUAAUGCUGCAGAACAGAC